UACGUAGGGGGCAAGCGUUGUCCGGAAUCAUUGGGCGUAAAGAGCGCGUAGGCGGCCCUGUAAGUCCGCUGUGAAAGUCAAGGGCUCAACCCUUGAAUGCCGGUGGAUACUGCAGGGCUAGAGUCCGGAAGAGGCGAGUGGAAUUCCUGGUGUAGCGGUGAAAUGCGCAGAUAUCAGGAGGAACACCGAUGGCGAAGGCAGCUCGCUGGGACGGUACUGACGCUGAGACGCGAAAGCGUGGGGAGCAAAACAGG
rnacentral:rRNA from 1 species